UAAUCCAGUGCAAUGCGUGUUUUUCUAUUUGCUGAAAGAACAGCUAAAGGCAGUAAAAAGAAAAAGAGCUUCAAUGGCUGUUAUCAUUAACAAUGACUUUAUUGUAAACGGUGAAACUGUGUCAAAGGGAAUUGACUUUGAGAUGCAAGACAUGCAGUUCAGCAAGGAGCUGAAUCUAUUUGACAAAAGAAAGAUCAUUCGUAACAAAUGGUAUUUAUGUUAUACUUUGGUCAACAACCCAUCAUUGGUCAAGUAUAGGAAAAGUAAUCUUGAUGAGAAAGAAGAAAAUUUAUCGGAAACGGAACAAGCGGACAGUAUUGAAGAAGAACAAAAUGAAGAUGUAGCAGAAGAGAAAUGAAACUUAUGAUGUAUAACAUCUAGAAGAUAUUCUGCUAGCAAGCUUGUCGUCUAAUUUAUAAUUUUUGGCUUUUGCGAAAGACGUUGAAAAGAGUAAAACUCUCAUUUCCAGAUUUUCACUUAUAUUUUUAUUAUAUGGAGCGCAUAUAUUGCUGUUAAUAAUAUUUAAAUCUCUACUGACUAGCUGAAGUUGAUACUUGUUCCCAUAUGUCCGUCAAUAGAAAAAAAUAAAUUGCUAUUAAUCAGUCAAUAUCUCUGUAUUCCAGUGCAUGAUAAGAUGUAAUUUCCUUCUUUAAGAAUUGAUGACACUUAAUGUCAAGUUCUGGACAAUAUUCUAAGAUAAAAAGCACCUAACUUGGUUAGUUUUAAAUACUAUGAAUACAAUUUUUCUGUAAUUGACUAGUAAAAUGUACUUUAUUUCCUUUUAUUUUACAAAUACCUUUGUAUCAUAAUAUAUUUGA